GAUGAACGCUAGCGGCAGGCCUAAUACAUGCAAGUCGAACGAGAUUAAGAGGCUUGCUUCUUAUGAAAGUGGCGCACGAGUGCGUAACGCGUAUGCAACCUACCUUAAUCAGGGGGAUAGCCCGAAGAAAUUCGGAUUAAGACCGCAUAACAACACAGGAUAGCAUUAUCCAAUGUUCAAAUAUUUAUAGGAUUAAGAUGGGCAUGCGUGUCAUUAGCUAGUUGGCGGGGUAACGGCCCACCAAGGCGACGAUGACUAGGGGAUCUGAGAGGAUGACCCCCCACACUGGUACUGAGACACAGACCAGACUCCGACGGGAGGCAGCAGUAAGGAAUAUUAGUCAAUGGAGGGAACUCUGAACCAGCCAUGCCGAGUGCAGGAAGACAGCCGUCUGGGUCGUAAACUGCUGUUAUUCGAGAAUAAACCUUUCUACGUGUAGGAAGCUGAAUGUACCGAAGGAAUAAGGAUCGGCUAACUCCGUG
rnacentral:rRNA from 1 species